rnacentral:rRNA from 1 species
UACGUAGGGUGCAAGCGUUAAUCGGAAUUACUGGGCGUAAAGCGUGCGCAGGCGGUUAUAUAAGACAGAUGUGAAAUCCCCGGGCUCAACCUGGGAACUGCAUUUGUGACUGUAUAGCCAGAGUACGGUAGAGGGGGAUGGAAUUCCGCGUGUAGCAGUGAAAUGCGUAGAUAUGCGGAGGAACACCGAUGGCGAAGGCAAUCCCCUGGACCUGUACUGACGCUCAUGCACGAAAGCGUGGGGAGCAAACAGG